AAUGUUUUACAAAGCAUUACAGGGGUGUCGCU
rnacentral:piRNA from 1 species